AUGCAGAGGGUAAUAUUAAUAAUAUAUAUAUAUAUAUAUAUAUAUAUAUAUAUAUAUAUAUAUAUAUUUUUUUUUUUACAGUUUUUGAAGAAAAUGUGUGGUUCUUCCUUUUGCAAAAAGCCUCAGCAAAAUGAGUUUUGUGGUUUGUUGCCAAGGUGUUUCUAUGGGGUUGCUAAGGUGCAUCAGAACAUCGUACAGACAUGGAGGUUGGUUUACAUGGUUAAGCAGCCUUUGGAGAAUCAUCACUGGCAGCUGUAAGGCCACUCCCUAGCAACCAAACAGAGUACCCUAGCAACCAUUUAGUAAGUAUUAUAUCUUUACAACCGAAAAUCGUACAGACAUGGGGGUUGGUUUAUAUUGGCAAGCAGCCUUUGGAGUAUCAUCAUUGGCAGUUGCCAAGCCACUCCAUAGCAACCGAACAGAGUACCCUAGCAACCGUCCUGCAAGACAUAUAUCUCUGAAUCAGAACAUCGUAGAAACAAGGCGGUUGGCUUUUUUGACUCAUGCUAGCAAACUGGAAUUCCAACAUGCUAGUCAUGCUAGCAGUGAAUAGCUACAUGCUAAUAUUGAUUAGCUAAGUGCUCAAAUUGGCUAACAACAUGCUAAGAACUCUAUAUAAACUACAUAGUGACCAUCUGUGACAACUACCAUCCACCUAGUAACAGCAUAGCAACUACCCCGGUUACCAUAGCAAUCGCCUAGCAACCACCCAGAACACCCUAGCAACCGCCUAGCAACACCUUAGCAACCACCCCAAAUACCUUAGCAACUGCCUAGCAACCGCCUAGCAACCACCCAGAACACCCUAGCAACCGCUUAGCAACACCUUAGCAACCACCCCAAGUACCUUAGUAACUGCCUAGCAACCGCCUAGCAACCAGCCAGAACACCCUACCAACCGCCUAGCAACACCCUAGCAACCACCCGAAAUAACCUAGCAACCACAUAGCAACACCCUAGCAACCACCUUGGGUACCCUAGCAACCGCUCUAACAACCGCCUAGAAACACCUUAGCAACCGAGCGCCGAGUUUUGCCACUGCAAGCACC
ensembl:lncRNA